UACGUAGGGGGCAAGCGUUGUCCGGAUUUAUUGGGCGUAAAGAGCGUGUAGGCGGCCAGGUAGGUCUGCUGUGAAAACUCGAGGCUUAACCUCGAGAUGUCGGCGGAAACCAUCUGGCUAGAGUCCGGAAGAGGAGAGUGGAAUUCCUGGUGUAGCGGUGAAAUGCGCAGAUAUCAGGAGGAACACCAAUAGCGAAGGCAGCUCGCUGGGACGUUACUGACACUGAGGCGCGAAAGCGUGGGGAGCGAACAGG
rnacentral:rRNA from 1 species